rnacentral:lncRNA from 1 species
CGGGGCUUGCGGCGAGGGGUGGGACCGCAGGGCCGGAGUAAAAGGGUGCUUGGCUGUGACAGGUCUCCUGGCCUCAGUGAUGGAAUUAAGAUGACUUCUAUCUCUGAAUCCAAGGGUGACUGAAAGCCACAAGCUGCAGAAAGGACAAGAGGCAUCACCUAUGUGGAUAAAGACAGCAUCCUGAGUUGAUGGAGAAAUGGCAUAGAAGGAACCAGGUCCUUUGAUGACAUCAUGGAGCAAAGCUGUCUUCUUGCCUUGACCUGCUACCUACCUACAUGGGAAGCUGUUACUUGAGAAGGCAAUAAAAUCUAUCUUCUUUAUUGACA